rnacentral:rRNA from 1 species
UACAGAGGUCCCAAGCGUUGUUCGGAUUCACUGGGCGUAAAGGGUGCGUAGGCGGUCGGGUAAGUCUGAUGUGAAAUCUCACAGCUUAACUGUGAAACUGCAUUGGAUACUAUCCGGCUAGAGGAAUGGAGGGGAGACUGGAAUACUUGGUGUAGCAGUGAAAUGCGUAGAUAUCAAGUGGAACACCAGUGGCGAAGGCGAGUCUCUGGACAUUUCCUGACGCUGAGGCACGAAAGCCAGGGGAGCAAACGGA